rnacentral:rRNA from 1 species
UACGUAGGGCGCAAGCGUUAUCCGGAAUUAUUUGGGCGUAAAGAGCUCGUAGGCGGUCUGUCGCGUCUGCUGUGAAAACUCAGGGCUUAACCCUGAGCUUGCAGUGGGUACGGGCAGACUAGAGUCCGGAAGAGGAGAGUGGAAUUCCUGGUGUAGCGGUGAAAUGCGCAGAUAUCAGGAAGAACACCUAUGGCGAAGGCAGCUCUCUGGGACGGUACUGGACGCUGAGACGCGAAAAGCGUGGGGAGCGAACAGG